CCUACGGGAGGCAGCAGUGAGGAAUAUUGGUCAAUGGACGAGAGUCUGAACCAGCCAAGUAGCGUGAAGGAUGACUGCCCUAUGGGUUGUAAACUUCUUUUAUAUGGGAAUAAAAUGUUCCACGUGUGGGAUUUUGUAUGUACCAUAUGAAUAAGGAUCGGCUAACUCCGUGCCAGCAGCCGCGGUAAUACGGAGGAUCCGAGCGUUAUCCGGAUUUAUUGGGUUUAAAGGGAGCGUAGGUGGAUUGUUAAGUCAGUUGUGAAAGUUUGCGGCUCAACCGUAACAUUGCCGGUGAAACUGGCAGUCUUGAGUACAGUAGAGGUGGGCGGAAUUCGUGGUGUAGCGGUGAAAUGCUUAGAUAUCACGAAGAACUCCGAUUGCGAAGGCAGUUCACUGGACUGCAACUGACACUGAGGCUCGAAAGUGUGGGUAUCAAACAGGAUUAGAUACCCUAGUAGUC
rnacentral:rRNA from 1 species